ensembl:lincRNA Gm15406 predicted gene 15406
CUCUGAAGUAAAACCCCAAGAAGGCAGGCUUGCUCUGUCUGUCUGUCUGUCUGCCUGUCUGCCUGCCUGUCUGCCUGUCUGUCUGUCUCUGGUUGUUACUCCUGCUAUCGAGGCUCCUGCAGUAACAGCUAGCAGGCUGUGGAAUGAAUUCACCACUGAGAACUUCUUGGCCUGGGCUGGAGAAAGGGUCGCCUCAAAGGAAGAGACAGCCACAGGCAACCAAGCCAGAAUAAUAGCUAAUCUAGUUUAAUUUCUGAGGUCUGCACCUCUGACUGCGACAUCUCUGAUGGGGCUCUGUCCCCCAACACUGCCAUCCGGAGGCAUCGGACCACGACGUGAGAUUGGAUGAGGAUGAACUGCACAGCGUCGACCAGACGGAAUGUGGAAUUAGAGUGGAAAGCAAUAAUUCUGAGAAGUGGGAAGGCUUCGUGGGAGCAGGCAGCGGGUGAGGGACAGCGUGCGUGCAGAGUGCUUGGCUGCGCUGAACUCGAGGCUUAAGCCAGGCCUCGUGGAACAGUGGCUCCAGCAAGGCCUGGAGGCCGAAGGAGCUAGGCUGGAAGCCAAACUCCAUUUCACUCUUUAGCGUGAGCCCGCAGGAGGUUGAGCUUCCUACAGUUCAUAGUCUGUAGAACUGGAGACAGCCCUGGAUCAAGCCGACUUUGUGUGGCUGUUGGGGGCGGGGACCAGGUGAUGGCGAUGAAAAUUGAUGUCUUGUCUUUUCUUCAUUUGCUUCAUAAUUCCCAGUACCGUAAAAAGAAGAAAAGAAAUCCUGCAUAAAAAGAAAUGAGUAGAA